GAUUGAUACUGUCGAUUCCAACAGGGUACUUCUCUGAAAUCCGAUUCCUACAGGUAACAUUUUUACCAGAGCUCAUCCAUAGGGGGGGUGCGGAUAAUAAAUGGAAUGACCCAUUAUACUUUAUUAUACGCCGAUGUACUAUGAAGUGAACUUGAAUAAUGGAACAACUUAUAGGUAAGAUUUCGAUGCGAAACUUUUCUGUUUUAUGGUCCAGAUAUAAUUUAUAAUAUUGCGAAGUCUGCAAAUGACAUAGCUAUUAUCAAACACGUUUAAAUUGAAAAAAACCGCGCCACUCCUAAUGAUUUAUAUAUAACAAAUCCGCCAUUUUGUUUGUGAAAGUUCGCACAUGCUCAGAAUCCAUGUCCGCAAUUUCUGGCCAUGCUGGAAACGGUCUUAAAAACAGCGAGCCAGUCCACUCAAACAUUUUUUUUGAAAUCCUUCAAAACUUACAAUUUGACUAUGCAAUAUUCCAACUGUGAUCACACAAAUUUUGAUAGUGUGAUCAGGCUUCAAACACUUUCCAAAUCUGAACUAAGUUCGCUCUAAACGUCCCGGCAAAUCUUGUCUCAAACAUUGAUAUCUCGAUAACUGACAGCUUAUACUCCGAUCAAUAGUUCAACCACAGGGGGCCCCACUAUGAGUUAUGAUUGAAAUAAUAUUGCAUUUAUUUUUAAAAACCUACUUGAAUCCCCUUGAUAAUCGAUUAUUUCUUCUCUCGAAGUUCUGUAAACAUUUCGAACUGCUUGGAGUC